rnacentral:sRNA from 1 species
GCUGGGUGCGGUGGCGCACGCCUAUGAUCCCACUGACUCUGGAAGCUGAGGCAGGAGGAUCGUGAGUUCAAAGUCAGCCUCGGCAACUAGCGAGGCACUAAGCAACUCAGUGAGACCCUGUCUCUA